CCGAGAACAAAACCUAGGGCCGGAUUCCAAGACCGCAAAAUCUCUCAACUCAUUUUAUGUUUGCGGAAGCUCUGAAGAAGAAGACGAUUACAGCAACAGAGAAAGGGAUACAAACAAUACAAGGAACCAUCGGAGAAGAGCUUUUUGGAUUGGUCAAAAAACAAUGGUCGAAUCUGAUUGAAUUUUUCACUUCAUUGGCAGCCUAGAGAGGAAGGACUUAAGUAGAGGUAGAGAGUGAAUUGGGAGAAACAUAUUCGAGACUCUGAGUUUGGGCAGAAUGGGUCCAUCUAAGAAGACUAAUAGAAAAGCAGCAGAUGUUUCCCAGAUUGAUACAGAAGAUGGUAUGGCGUUGCAAAUUACCGAAGAUGUUACAAAAAACAAGAAAACAAGUCAUGGAAGACGGUUAAAUAAUGAGCACUACGUGCUUGCUCUGGCAGCAACAAGUGACAAUGAUGAGGUGAUUCCGGAGACGACGAAGACGAGAAAAAAGAAGAAGGGUGAGAGUUCUAACGCCUCGAAAGAGGACAAUCCCGACAAAAAGCUGGUGGAAGAGAGUGCACAGAAGGAUACUUGCGAAUUCUGCAGUUCUCUGUUAGAAAACGCUGAAACUGUGACUCAGGUGACAAAUAGACCGAAUUUGGAAAUUGAGGUUGUGGUAGGUGAUCAUACUGUUGAUGAGAAUGACCAAAAGCUGCUGGAAGAGAGUGCACAGAAGUAUCCUGGUGAAAGCUGCAGUUCUCUGUUAGAGAACAGUGAAACUAUGCCUGAGAUGACAAUUAGACCGAAUUCGGAAAUUGAGGUUGGGGUAGGUGAUCAUACUGUUGAUGAGAAUGAUACAGGUAAAAAGACAAAAACCAGGAGGAGGAAGAAGAAGCGUAUUGAAUCUCAAAAUGAUGGUCCAGAUAAAACUCCAACGGUGGAAGUAGAGAAAUCUUUGGUAGAUGGCAUGGAUACAGAUGCAGAUCUCACCCAAACUAUCUCUGAGAUGAAAAAUAGACCACAUUCGGAUUUUGAAGUUUCUGGGCACCACAUGACUUCUUUGCAGACUGCAGAUCAAACUGGUGUUACUGAAGACGAUACAGGCAAUACGAUAAAAACUAAGAGGAAAAGGAAGAGGCGUACUGACUCUCAAAACAAUGAUCCAGAUGAAACUCCACAGGUGCAAAUGGAGAAACCUUUAUCAGAUGGGAACGAUGCAGGCAAAACGAUAAAAACCAGCAAGAAGAGGAAGACGCCUAUUGAUUCCCAAGAAGAUGAACCAGAUGUAGCUCCGCGAGUGAGAAAAGAGAGAUCUUUAGCAGAUGUGAUGGCAUCAUCAUAUAAGAAGCAGAAACCCGUAGUUCCUGUGCGCACGGAUCAUGAAGUCGAUAGGCCGUGCACCUCUGUAAAAAUUGAUACUGAUUCAAUGACAAAGAGUGAUUUACCUACUGGAAUUAAUUUAGUCUCAGUUGAGGAGACUAGUAGCCCUUUAAAACAUCAGAAGAAGAAAAAGAAGAAGAAGAAAAGCUUACUCGACUCCUGUGGGAACCAGUUGUUACAGAGCAAAGAGCAGUCCCCUAGCUUGUCUCUUGAAGUCCCGAAAGCUAGUUCAAAGAAAAGUAAAAGGGAAAUCAAAUCAGAGAAGUCCUCUACCAUGGAUUUUUCCCUAGGUUUGUCUUCUGCUGAAGAUUGUGAUCCUGCAAGCAAGAGGAAGAGCAAGAAAAAGAAGAGAAAGGAGAUGCUAUUAGUAGAAGUUAGUAAAUCAACCAUAGAAGAACCUCAGCUUAAGCAGUCAGAAGGUAUAGAAGGCUUAGACAAUCCAAAAGAAGGGCCAAUUGUUUUUGGUGAAGAAACUCCAGCAGUAUCCGUAGAUGAGCAUUGCAAGGAAGAAGUCAUUCCUCUUCUGGCAACUAAGAGCAACAUAAAAGAUGGUCUUGUUGGUGAAGGGAACACCGCUCUUGGGAGGUCAAAGAAAGAAAGGUGUAGCUCUUUAUUAUCAGCUGUUACAGAUGUUUCUUCAUGCAAAAAUGCUGCUAAUGAUUCGGACCAUGCCCAUAGCAAUAGGAGAAAAAAGAGGAAGAAUGAUACUCAUACUACCAAUGAAGACAUGGCUUCUGAGAGUAUGCUCAUAUGUGGCCCUCCUGCAAAUGAGGUUGAAUGUAGAGAUGAAUCUUGUGUUACUGGUGAGGGAAAUCUAGCAGGGGAUGUAACUCCUCUUUUAGGGGGAGAACGUGUUGAUGCAAAGAUAAUCCAUCUAUCUGGUGGAGAGAACUUAGAUGUAUCUUUAAAUGCUGGACUAGUAGAAGAAGGAACUGGGCAUGUUAGAACAUCUUUUAGUUGUACGAGGAAAAAGCUUCUUGUUCUUGAUUUAAAUGGUAUUCUUGUUGACAUUGUUUCCAACGUGCCUGAUGGAUAUAAAGCAGACACGUUUAUUGCAAGGAAAGCUCUUUUUAAGAGACCGUUCUGUGAUGAUUUCUUGAAGUUUUUAUUUCAGAACUUCAAUGUGGGUGUCUGGUCAUCAAGAACAAAGAGAAAUGUGGAUAGCGUGGUCGACUUUGUCAUGGGAGAUAUGAAAAAGAACCUGCUAUUUUGUUGGGACCAAUACCACUGUACUGAUACAGGGUACAGCACUCUUGAAAACAGACAGAAGCCUUUGGUAUUGAAGGAGCUGAAGAAAUUAUGGAAUAAACAUGAACAGAGUCUUCCAUGGGAGAAGGGUGCAUAUAAUGAAUCAAACACGAUAUUGCUGGAUGAUUCACCGUACAAAGCCUUACGAAAUCCACCCCAUACUGCUAUUUUCCCUCCUCCAUAUAGGUUUGAGGAUGCUGGUGAUAAAUCAUUAGGUCCAGGAGGAGAUCUUCGUGUCUAUCUGGAAGGUUUACUCAAGGCUGAGGAUGUUCAAAAUUAUGUGGAACAACACCGUUUUGGUCAGCGUGCUAUCACUGACAAGAAUCCAUCGUGGGGAUUCUAUCUUCGAAUUAUCGGUAAGAAUGUGCAGACCAGAGCCAAUAUCUGUAGCACUUCCAAUCAGGGUUCCAUAUCAUGAAGCUGGAGAAAAGGGCCAUAUCAGUUUUUCCUCGGUGUCAAAGCUACAAAGUCGCUACAAUUGUUCCUAUCAUUGAUUUGUGUAGUUGCUCAAGGUCCCAAUAUCAGAGACCCUGAUCAGGGCACGAAUCAAUCUCUCAGAAUUCCACUCAAAGGUGAACCGGAAGCAGUUCAAAAUUUCAGGGUCAAUCUCAUUAUAUGAUGCUGCUGAAGAGACCAAGUUCUGUCUAUAUCAGUUCAGACAGAGGCAUAUGCAAAUGCUUUGAAACAAGCAGCUGGCUUGUGGUGGAUCUGAUGCCAGUCAUGCUGUAUCUGAAGCAGGGAUCAUUAUCUUGCCACAACACAUGAAUGCAGGUGACACCGAGAUGAUUGAGAAUGCCCUCAAGAAGAGUUUUUGUCAGCAGGGAUGAGAAAAAGUGAUGACAAGACUUGCAUCACUGCCAUAAUGGCUCGAAUCACAAUCACUUCAUAAUCUCCGAUGGCCCAGAGAGAGUUGUUCAGAAUCGAUAAACUUUGGUGGGCAAUGACAUGCCGUGGAGUUAUGAAGCGAUGUGAUUCUAGCCAUUGUUGCCGCGAUCUUGCGAUGCCGAAUUCGGAAAUUAAGAUAACUAUUCCACCAAUUAGAGAGACGUAGCACUUCAAUUACCCUGGCCAUCUCCAGGAUUAUGUCAAGAAGCUUCAUGGUUCAUCAACAAUAUGUUGGAUAAUCUUAUUCAUCUCCAAGAGGAGGUAUUUAUCAGGAUCCAUAAACAGAAGGUGGGAGUCAAGAAAAAUAAACGCAUCCAUCCUCUAACCACUACUACUAAGUAUUAUGCUCCCAAACUUUCUGGUUGAAGUUUUGGAAACCGAAAUUACCUUGCAAUCUGCAAAUGUUUUGGUGGAAACUAAUUCAUGUGCUUCCAGUAGAGGUGUCAAACAGGCCGGCCUGGCCUGCCUUUGAUUGGCCUAGCCUGGGCCUGCAGCCUGGCCGGGGUCGGCCUGUCAAUAAAGCUGGCCAGGCCAAGCCUGGCCUGGAUCCUAUUAAAUGAGCCCAGCCUGAGCCUGAGCCAGGCUAGCCAGUUAAAGUAUGACCUCUUUCUUUUCAAAAAAUAUAUCCAUAGUGUUUCGAACUCAUUACCUCGUGCUCAUAUAUCAAUGACCAA